UACGGAAGGUCCUAGCGUUGUUCGGAUUUAUUGGGCGUAAAGGGCGUGUAGGCGGCUUAGCAAGUUGGAUGUGAAAUUUCGGAGCUCAACUCCGAAGCUGCAUUCAAAACUGCUUUGCUUGAGGAUAGGCGGAGAAAACGGAAUUCCACGUGUAGCGGUGAAAUGCGUAGAUAUGUGGAAGAACACCGGUGGCGAAGGCGGUUUUCUAGCUUAUUCCUGACGCUGAGGCGCGAAAGCAAGGGGAGCAAACAGG
rnacentral:rRNA from 1 species